rnacentral:sRNA from 1 species
GUCACACGAUCGUUAGUGAAAUCAUAUUGCCGCCCGAUUUCCGCCAAGCCGCGGCCCUGCUGGGCUGCGAGAGAUGAUACUUGCGUUGGCCCGGUCUUGUCGGCGUCGGAUUCCUCAGCCCCCAGCCCCCCGGGGUCUUCAGGAUCGGGCCUGUUCGCAACAAUCAAUCCCCACACUGAGGGCCAACGCGAGUUGGUCCUUUU